ensembl:lncRNA
CUUGUUUCACAAUGGUAAUCUCGACCAUGGACCUGUUAAUGAAGUGGUAUAAAGCUUCCAUUGUGAACAUUAGUGUGCUGAAGACCAGGGAAAUGGCUGUCUACUCUACUACUAUUGGAAAUCAGUGACCAAAAAACAGAAAGUGAAAUCAGUGAAAGGGUUUUGUAGGCUUCCUGGAAACUCCUGAGACCAUUUCCACUGGUUGGUUAAAGAGAGCCAAAUACACGACAAAGAAACCCAGGAUCAAAACAUUCAAGCAAGGAUAAGGAAACAAGCAGAAACAAUAACAGCGAGUGUGGUGAUUUAUGCUGUGGGGACACCCCAACUCCCAUCGGUCACCUGAAUCACCAGAAUCCAAAUUCACAACCCAGGGGGUAAUAGGAAUCAACAUGAGCUUAGAAAACCCAAGUGGCUACAACUGACAGGGAAGACCAAGCCACAGUGGACACCAGCCAGCCCAGCCAAGGUGCCUGCACAACCCCCCCACCAUUCCACGACAGACCACCCC